rnacentral:piRNA from 1 species
UCCAAGGCUUGCUGUGGUAGAACUAG